rnacentral:rRNA from 1 species
GAUCAUGGCUCAGGAUGAACGCUGGCGGCGUGCCUAACACAUGCAAGUCGAACGAGCGAGAGAUGAAACCUAGUGAUUCUCGAGCGAGUGGCGGACGGGUGAGUAACGCGUGGGUAACCUGCCUUACAGAGGGGGAUAACAGUUUGAAAAGACUGCUAAUACCGCAUAAGCACACAGUACCGCAUGGUACAGGGUGAAAAGAUUUAUCACUGUAAGAUGGACCCGCGUCUGAUUAGCCAGUUGGCAGGGUAACGGCCUACCAAAGCGACGAUCAGUAGCCGACCUGAGAGGGUGAUCGGCCACAUUGGGACUGAGACACGGCCCAAACUCCUACGGGAGGCAGCAGUGGGGGAUAUUGCACAAUGGAGGAAACUCUGAUGCAAGCGACGCCGCGUGAGUGAAGAAGUAUUUCGGUAUGUAAAGCUCUAUCAGCAGGGAAGAUAAUGACAGUACCUGACCAAGAAGCCCCGGCUAACUACGUGCCAGCCGCCGC